rnacentral:rRNA from 1 species
CCUACGGGAGGCAGCAGUGAGGAAUAUUGGUCAAUGGACGAGAGUCUGAACCAGCCAAGUAGCGUGAAGGAUGACCGCCCUAUGGGUUGUAAACUUCUUUUAUAUGGGAAUAAAAUGUUCCACGUGUGGGAUUUUGUAUGUACCAUAUGAAUAAGGAUCGGCUAACUCCGUGCCAGCAGCCGCGGUAAUACGGAGGAUCCGAGCGUUAUCCGGAUUUAUUGGGUUUAAAGGGAGCGUAGGUGGAUUGUUAAGUCAGUUGUGAAAGUUUGCGGCUCAACCGUAAAAUUGCAGUUGAAACUGGCAGUCUUGAGUACAGUAGAGGUGGGCGGAAUUCGUGGUGUAGCGGUGAAAUGCUUAGAUAUCACGAAGAACUCCGAUGGCGAAGGCAGCUCACUGGACUGCAACUGACACUGAGGCUCGAAAGUGUGGGGAUCAAACAGGAUUAGAUACCCCUGUAGUC